AUUGAACGCUGGCGGCAUGCCUUACACAUGCAAGUCGAACGGCAGCGGGGACUUCGGUCCGCCGGCGAGUGGCGAACGGGUGAGUAAUGUAUCGGAACGUACCAUUGAGUGGGGGAUAACGUAGCGAAAGUUACGCUAAUACCGCAUAUUCUCUCCGGAGGAAAGCAGGGGACCGCAAGGCCUUGCGCUCUUUGAGCGGCCGAUAUCAGAUUAGCUAGUUGGUGAGGUAAAGGCUCACCAAGGCGACGAUCUGUCGCGGGUCUGAGAGGAUGAUCCGCCACACUGGAACUGAGACACGGUCCAGACUCCUACGGGAGGCAGCAGUGGGGAAUUUUGGACAAUGGGGGCAACCCUGAUCCAACCAUGCCGCGUGAGUGAAGAAGGCCUUCGGGUUGUAAAGCUCUUUCGGCCGGGAAAAAAUCGCAUGGGCUAAUACCCUGUGUGGAUGAUGGUACCGGAAUAAGAAGCACCGGCUAACUACGUGCCAGCCGCCGCGGUAAAAC
rnacentral:rRNA from 1 species